UACAGGGGGUGCAAACGUUGCUCGGAAUCAUUGGGCGUAAAGGGUAGGUAGGUGGUCUCAUUUGUCUGCGGUGAAAGCCUUGGGCUUAACUCAAGAAGUGCCGCAGAAACGGUGAGACUAGAGUUCUGGAGAGGGUCGUGGAAUUCCCGGUGUAGCGGUGAAAUGCGUAGAGAUCGGGAGGAACACCAGAGGCGAAGGCGGCGACCUGGACAGAUACUGACACUCAACUACGAAAGCGUGGGGAGCAAACAGGAUUAGA
rnacentral:rRNA from 1 species